rnacentral:rRNA from 1 species
ACGAACGCUGGCGGCAUGCCUAACACAUGCAAGUCGAACGAGACCUUCGGGUCUAGUGGCGCACGGGUGCGUAACGCGUGGGAACCUGCCCUUAGGUUCGGAAUAACUCCCCGAAAGGGGUGCUAAUACCGGAUAAUGUCUUCGGACCAAAGAUUUAUCGCCUUUGGAUGGGCCCGCGUUGGAUUAGCUAGUUGGUAGGGUAAAAGCCUACCAAGGCGACGAUCCAUAGCUGGUCUGAGAGGAUGAUCAGCCACACUGGGACUGAGACACGGCCCAGACUACUACGGGAGGCAGCAGUGGGGAAUAUUGGAAAAUGGGCGAAAGCCUGAUCAAGCAAUGCCGCGUGAGUGAUGAAGGCCUUAGGGUUGUAAAGCUCUUUUACCCGGGAUGAUAAUGACAGUACCGGGAGAAUAAGCUCCGGCUAACUCCGUG